AGUUUCUCUUCUUCUCACAACCUGCGACGGGUCCUUCUUCCUUGAUACUCACGAAGCGGACACAGUUCUCAUUCCCACUAGGUGUCGGGUUUCUAGAGAAGCCAAUCGGUGCCGCCGCGGUCCCGGUUCUAAAGUCCCCACGCACCCACCGGGACUCAGAUUCUCCCCAGACGCCGAGGAUGGUGCUCAUGGCGCCCCGAACCCUCCUCCUGCUGCUCUCAGGGGCCCUGGCCCUGACCCUGACCCAGACCUGGGCGCGCUCCCACUCCAUGAGGUAUUUCUACACCACCAUGUCCCGGCCCGGCCGCGGGGAGCCCCGCUUCAUCUCCGUCGGCUACGUGGACGAUACGCAGUUCGUGCGGUUCGACAGCGACGACGCGAGUCCGAGAGAGGAGCCGCGGGCGCCGUGGAUGGAGCGGGAGGGGCCAGAGUAUUGGGACCGGAACACACAGAUCUGCAAGGCCCAGGCACAGACUGAACGAGAGAACCUGCGGAUCGCGCUCCGCUACUACAACCAGAGCGAGGGCGGUUCUCACACCAUGCAGGUGAUGUAUGGCUGCGACGUGGGGCCCGACGGGCGCUUCCUCCGCGGGUAUGAACAGCACGCCUACGACGGCAAGGAUUACAUCGCCCUGAACGAGGACCUGCGCUCCUGGACCGCGGCGGACAUGGCAGCUCAGAUCACCAAGCGCAAGUGGGAGGCGGCCCGUCGGGCGGAGCAGCUGAGAGCCUACCUGGAGGGCGAGUUCGUGGAGUGGCUCCGCAGAUACCUGGAGAACGGGAAGGAGACGCUGCAGCGCGCGGACCCCCCCCAAGACACAUAUGACCCACCACCCCAUCUCUGACCAUGAGGCCACCCUGAGGUGCUGGGCCCUGGGCUUCUACCCUGCGGAGAUCACACUGACCUGGCAGCGGGAUGGGGAGGACCAGACCCAGGACACGGAGCUCGUGGAGACCAGGCCUGCAGGGGAUGGAACCUUCCAGAAGUGGGCGGCUGUGGUGGUGCCUUCUGGAGAGGAGCAGAGAUACACCUGCCAUGUGCAGCAUGAGGGUCUGCCCGAGCCCCUCACCCUGAGAUGGGAGCCAUCUUCCCAGCCCAACGUCCCCAUCGUGGGCAUCGUUGCUGGCCUGGUUCUACUUGUAGCUGUGGUCACUGGAGCUGUGGUCGCUGCUGUAAUGUGGAGGAAGAAGAGCUCAGAUAGAAAAGGAGGGAGCUACUCUCAGGCUGCAAGCAGCAACAGUGCCCAGGGCUCUGAUGUGUCUCUCACGGCUUGAAAGUGUGAGACAGCUGCCUUGUGUGGGACUGAGAGGCAAGAGUUGUUCCUGCCUUCCCUUUGUGACUUGAAGAACCCUGACUUUCUUUCUACAAAGGCACCUGAAUGUGUCUGUGUUCCUGUAGGCAUAAUGUGUGGAGGAGGGGAGACCAACCCACCCUCAUGUCCACCAUGACCCUCUUCCCCACGCUGAUCUGUGUUCCCUCCCCAAUCAUCUUUCCUGUUCCAGAGAGGAGGGGCUGAGAUGUCUCCAUCUUUUUCUCAACUUUAUGUGCACUGAGCUGUAACUUCUUACUUCCCUCUUAAAAUUAGAAUCUGAGUAAACAUUUACUUUUUCAAAUUCUUGCCAUGAGAGGUUGAUGACUUAAUUAAAGGAGAAGAUUCCUAAAAUUUGAGAGACAAAAUAAAUGGAACACAUGAGAACCUUCCAG